UUAAAAAGCUCGUAGUUGGAUUUCUGCGGGGGCGGGGCGGCCGGUUGCUUAUAGCAACUCGAGCUAGCACUUCCCCUGCAUCCUGCCGCGAACCGUGCUACCAUUAGUUUGGUGGCGCUGGGGAUCGGCUCGUUUACUUUGAGAAAAAUAGAGUGUUCAAAGCAGGCCACACGCCUUGAAUAAGUUAGCAUGGAAUAAUGAUAAAGGACUUCGGUUCUAUUUUGUUGGUGUUCGGGACUGAAGUAAUGAUUGAUAGGGACAGUUGGGGCGGUCAGUAUUCCAAAGCGAGAGGUGAAAUUCUUAGACCUUCGGAAGACUAACAGCUGCGAAAGCGUUCCGCAAGGAUGUUCCCUUUGAUCAAGAACGAAAGUUGGGGGAUCGAAGACGAUCAGAUACCGUCGUAGUCUCAACUAUAAACUAUACCAGCUAGGGAUCGGCCGACGUUUACUUAUAUCGACUCGGUCGGCACCUUAUGAGAAAUCAAAGCAUCUGGGUUCCGGGGGGAGUAUGGUC
rnacentral:rRNA from 1 species